UAGUGACCUAAUUAAAAGAAAGAGAACUUCACUGACUACACCACAGACCCUAGAUCACAGUUUGCUGGGCAUUCCAGAAAUUACCACCUUUUCUGCAAAUCUUGAAGAGGCUGGGAAGUCCAAGCUCAAGGUGCUAGCAAUUUUAAUGCCUG